rnacentral:snRNA from 1 species
AUACAUAUCUGAAAGGGAGUGAUACGAUGGUCACUAAGAUGGUUCUCUCAGGACGAGACACACCCAUUGCACUUUGGGUGAGUGGACCUUUGUGAUUUCCAUAAAUAUGGGGAGUUUGACCAUACAAUUUUGGUAGUGGGGAAGCCUGUUCACACUAUCCCGU